GCCAGGCAUGGUGAUGCAUGCCUGUAAUCCCAGCUACUCCGGAGGCUGAGGCAGGAGAAUCGCUUGAACCCAGGAGGUAGAGGUUGUGGUGGGCAGUGAUUGCGCCACUGCACUCCAGCCUGGGUGACAGAGGGAGACUCUGUCUCAA
rnacentral:sRNA from 1 species